GAUCAACCUAUAACAACCUCCAAUAGGAACCGCUGGUUUGGCUCGCUGGCUGGUAAGAGGAAACAAGCGAGUUCCAGCACCUCCACCCAGAAUGAUUGAAGCAAUCUUUUUCGGAUCAGCUCUUGGAGUCUCGAAUAUAGGAGCCUGUAAAGUCGUUGUUUCCUCACUAAUUUCUGACAUGAGAACAGAAUAGGCAACUCCCGG
rnacentral:misc_RNA from 1 species